UAUCAAUGAAAGGAGAUCAUGGAGAACCUACCAAUAAUCCUACUUUUGGCAUGUUUUGCAUCCUUGUCAGAGAGCACUGACCUGACUGGGAGCGUCUUCACCUUUCCAACACUGGGAACCAUUGAUCAUGUGACUUUGAGUCCACCAGCCAAAAAGUCCCUGUCCCAAGCCAGUCUCUGUCUACGGUUCUACACUGAUCAAUCAACUCAAAGCCCCUGCUUCUUCUCUUUGGCCACGACCAGCCUCCACAAUGCCUUCUUACUGUGCCGAAUGGAAGGGGGGUUCUUCAGAUUCCAUUUAGGCUCUACAGGUGUAGAUUACUUAGGCUUGUCAUACAAAUUAAAUGAAUGGAACUCAGUGUGCGUGACAUGGGGUGAAGAGCAUAUCACACAGUUUUUUAUCAAUGGAAAAGCCAGUGUGAGGAAGAUAGCACCUAUGACACCAGAUUGGCGAAUACCCACAGAUCAUUCAAUCAUAGCAGGACAGGACCAAGACAACUAUGGAGGAGGGUUUGAAGUGGGGAAUGCCUUCCCUGGCCAUAUAACUGAUAUCCACAUGUGGGAUUAUGCCAUUAGCACAUGUGAAGUCGAACUGUUCAUGAAAGAGAUGACCUUCCAACCUGGUAAUUACCUCAACUGGCAGAGCCUUGACUUUAAGGCUCAGGGAAAGGCUAAGGUGGAGAAGAAGCAGCUGUUUUCAGCAGGUGCUUGUUAGCCAGGAGCAUAUCAAUGUAAAUGCCAUUCAUGAAUGAUAAUAAAAAAUCAUGUUAUUCAUGUCAAAUGAAUCUAGUUUCAGAACAACUGUUCUGUGAAAAGUAAACUGUUCAAGGAUGUACUGUUA